GAUAAGAUUUUCAACAGAACCAAGAGCGGUACCCAGAUCAACGAUGUGGUUUGCAAGGGAAGCAGUGGUCAAAUAUCCUGUUCAAACUAAACAGAAUUCUCGUCAGAUCUGUUACUGAUGGACUGACCUGCCAUUGUGUGAUACUGAUAGUCGCCGAAGGAUCUCUCUGACAUGAAAACGGCUAUACUGACGUCUGACAAAGUUACUCAGAAUGUUCUUUCUUCUCUAAUCUCUGACUCUCAUUUUGCUGUGCCGGAGCCCGGAAUGUCUUGCCCUUAUUAUUUCUGGAAGAUAAUGUACUGCUGGGAAUAAUAUAUACUCUAUUUCUCCUGAAACUGUAAAACAUACAGUAGUUACUGCCAAAACGUUCUUCUACAAAUCCUCUACAAUAAUGCCGAACGCUUGAACUUGAAGAUUGAGUUAAUCUUCAAGAUGUUGCUCCGAUCAAAGAAUUUAAGAUGACAAUUCCAGUUCAUAAUGUUACACUGUGCACGGGAUUUAGAAAGAUAAACAUUAUAUAUUAUAAUCCGUUGUUUCAAUAUUUUGUUUUCUUUGUUAAUCACUAACUGAUAUAUGAUCUAACUAGGUUUUAUCUCUAACUUAAACUGUGAUCUGAGAGAAGCUUUAUCAGUGUGUAGUGUGCGUGCAGUACUGCGCCGUGACGUAAUAGGACAAAAAGUACCUGCCACCAAUGGUCACAGGUCGCAGGACCGUCGACGAGUCCAACUCGGCGCGCGUCCUGGUAGGUUGUAAACCUACAAGCUAAAUCGGAUGUAAAUUAACGUCCUUUCAAAUUCCCUGUUGCUGGUUCAGCAAUCCCGUCGGUAAAGUUGAAACUUGUCUUUCGUCCGAUCCCUCUGAUUUCUCAAUUCUAUAAUUUAUUUAUUCUAUAAAUAUUCAAGUGUUAGUUAUCUUAUAUUGUCAGUAAACUAGAUUUUACCGGUUUUUAAUCUUGAAAUGAAGUUUUGUUACUUGUAAUUUUCAGAUUUUUAUAGACUAACUUAAACUACUACGUC